CACAUGGGCAACGAAUAAUUUUGUAGUAUUUCUCGUACAAAAUUAUUGGUUGUUCAUCUGAA
ensembl:miRNA bta-mir-12040 bta-mir-12040